AAUUUCUCGCCAAUAUUACGCUGCCGCUGUCUUCCUCUGUUGCCUCCUCUUCAUCUCCUUCUGCCGCAAGUCCCUCGUUUUAGGAAUCAAAUUAAUAGGAGAAAAUGGAGGGCUAUAUGGAGGAUAGUAGAGUGUUGUUAUCUCAAUUGAAGCAGCAAGAUAAUGACCUAAGGCUCAAAAGAAGGUGGUUAAUGGACUUGCAUUUAUCGGAACGAGAGCGAAAAAAGAUGGAAAGACUCAAACCUCACGCUGAUAUGUGAGAACCUUCUUUUGUCUUUAAAUUUUCUAUAUCUUUUUGUAAAACUCUUCUUUUCCACUUCUUGGAUUAUGUAUGUCCUAGUUAGUAAUAGUAUCUCUCCCUAGAAAAGGCAUGUUAGUCGUUGCACUGCUUUCAUAUUAUUGAAUAUUUGCAAAAUUGACUGUUCAAAUGAAUGCACAGAUAUUGGGAUGCAAUUGUCUGUGAAUUUCAUUAUAGUUUUCAGGACUAUCCUUUUACGAAAUUUCUUCUUCUUUUAUUAGCUUUGGGUAAGUUAGGGAAGUCGUG